AUGUUUUUUUGCUCCUUUCCACACAAACAGUGGGUUUGUGUGAAGUUGCUGGAUUGUUCAAACACUGGGUUGUGUCAUUUACAAGAUCACUGUGGUCCGAAGCCAUGUGGCCCAGAGCAGAAGCCUGGGGGAUGCAGACGGACUGGAAGAGCGCCGGGACCCGCCGACACCGGGCUGUCACACCCGCGCCGGCCUCCAGCGCACGCCGCCCCGCCCGGUCCGCCAGAGGGCCCGGCUCCGCCCCCGGUCCCGCGGCCGGGCCACGCCAGGGGAGUCGCCGGCGGCCGAGGGACGAGACGAGCACAGCGUCCGGGGUCGGCCCGCGCCUGUGAAACCCUCACCUGCGUCCACCCUCCCGCUCUGCCCGCGACUGAGCGCGCCGUCGCCCUGACGGUCCUGCAGCGCGACGCGCCGGGCCGCCGCCGGGCGGAUCCGACGGAACAAAGAUGCGGGACCGGCAGUGCGCCGGAAGUGCGCUGGUCGCCAUCUUGGCGUACGGCCGGGCGCAGCGCCGAGAACACGCCGGCGCUCUCUGCUCCCGGGCGGCCUGAGUCGUUCGCUCCGAGGGCUGCAGCAGACCGUCGGGGCAGCGGAAGCAAACCCACGGGCAGGCUCCUCAGCUUGCUUUUUGCCCAUGGCCACGGGCGAGGCCAUCUUGCUUUACGGACCGAUUUGGUGCGCCACGACCCUGCACCGAGCCGCGGGCACCCGAGCCCAUCUGCGCUGCUGCGACGCCCAGGCUACGCCCCACUGGGUGCCGGGGACUUGGUGAGUGCCGAAGUCCGAGGGUUGACCCGGCGGGCGGGCGCCGCGGGGACCAGCUCCCACGUCCCGCAGCCGUGUCGCCGUGUGUCCUCCCUUCGGGGCGGUCCCGCUCGGGGCUUGGGGCGGCGAUGCGAGUGGCGGAGCUUGGUGGCUGUGCGACAGCUCGAGGCCGGAGAUCGUGAUCCGCCGCCGGCCGCAAAGUCCUCCCACCGGCCGGGCAAGGGGGAGAAGUCGCCGUCUCCAUCCACAGGUUCCCCCUCAAAGACUCAAAAUGUCUGA
rnacentral:lncRNA from 1 species